ACUUCAGAAAACAUAUCUUGGUUAAAACCAACUUGGUUAAAAAUUAGUAUAUACUAAACACAGUAGUGUGAGUAUAUACAUUAUUUCACUGUCAUGUAAGCUACCUUAUUCAGCCUAAUUUGGACCCUUUUAAAUCAUAUCUACUGGGGUCCUGGACCCCGGAUACAGUGCAGUUGAACUUGCUACAGCAUGAUUAAGACCAAAAUAUACUGCAAAACGAGGUCCAUCUGCAGGUGUGAUAAAAACCUCAAUGAGAAAGUCAGCUGCGUGACAUGCCAAGAAUAAUCAGCUAAAAAGUUCAAUUCUACAUGUAAUCAGCAGCUUGGGUACUCUGUGUUUUUCAGUGACUAUGACGAAUGAAAUGGUGAAGGCAAAAUCUACAUUCAGGUCACAGUCUACAAUGUGUGAAUGACUUCACAGUAAAAUGUUACCAUGCCAGAGGCUACACAGUAACACACAAUUUUCCAUUAGUCACAAUAUACAGACGUCAUAAUUUGUAUUUAGACAGUCAACAUUAACUAAAAAAACUGGUUACACCAACAGAACAGUAAGCAUAUAAUGACAGAAGUUUAACCUGUUAAAAUGAAAACAUUUUAUUUUUUGUCGGCACAAGCGCCAUAACAUUUUUGUGCACACUUAGUGAGUGAAUAACUCCCAUCAGUACUCAACAGAAACUGGCUUCAUCAGAGAUCUGUGUAUGUGAUGAGGGAAACCACGGCACAAUAAAUAUACUGUGAGAAACAUGAUGAUCUACUUUUAUCUUAUGUAAUGACAAUUCAUAAAGUCUACCACAAUCAAAAUGCUCAACAUUCACACUGAACUGAUCUGAGAUGGAACAGCAAUACAGCUCUUUUCCACCGAUGCAGCGCUGGUGCUUAAUCUAAAACCUGUUUCAUAUAAUUUCUGCCAAAAAAGACAAAUGCAUUCACAUCGCCACAAAACUAAUGGGCCCAAAGUCAGAACAAUUAGUGGCAAAAAGAAGGACAACCACAAAAAUUUCACAGGUAAUUUAUAGAUGCAGCCCACAGUGGUGCAUCUCUGCGCCAUAACUUUAUGGACAUGGAAAAUACCUCAAAGUCUGCUACAUAAAUGUGAGCUCGUUCUUAAAAAGAAACUAAAGCAGAACUUGCACAGGUACCAGCACCACAUCUGUGGGAGAGAGGUAAUAAAGUGGCUGAUGUGCAUUUGGAUGUGGGCAAGUUGAAACACCAGUGUGUUUGGUGAUUGUCUCACUUCUAUUUGUAUUAAGAGUUAAAAAAAUUUUUUUUUUUUAAAAAGCAGGACAAAACAAAACACAAUUUAAACAACACAGCAACAAACGGUACUGGUGGUAAUUCUGCUUCAGUAUUUCUGCAAAUUAAAUUAUUUGGUUCUGAAUUUUGUCACUUUGAUAGAAAUUUGCUACAGGGUUCUAUUGUACCGUCCAAUGACCAAGUAAAAACAUUAUAUAAAAGCACUGUUAUAAAAUUUAACAAAAACAAACAAAAAGAUUCAAAAUGUCAAAAGUACAUAGGUUUUGCAUAGGUUGAUUUAAGACGUCUUUAUUUUGUUCUGUGGUGCAGAUUUGUUGUUGUUGUA